CCCUUAGACGUUCUGGGCCGCACGCGCGCUACACUGACCAGUGCAACAAGCAUCCGUCCUUGGCCGACAGGCCCGGGCAAUCUUUGAACGCUGGUCGUGAUGGGGAUAGACUUUUGCAAUUUUUGGUCUUCAACGAGGAAUUCCUAGUAAACGCAAGUCAUCAACUUGCAUUGAUUACGUCCCUGCCCUUUGUACACACCGCCCGUCGCUCCUACCGAUUGAAUGUUCCGGUGAGCUCUUCGGACUGCGCGGUCUGCAGUUUCUGCGUUCCGUGCGGAAAGUUGUGCAAACCUUAACAUUUAGAGGAAGGAGAAGUCGUAACA
rnacentral:rRNA from 1 species